rnacentral:rRNA from 1 species
GACGAACGCUGGCGGCGUGCUUAACACAUGCAAGUCGAGCGAUGAAAUCCCUUCGGGGAUGAAUUAGCGGCGGACGGGUGAGUAACACGCGGGUAACCUGCCUCAAAGAGGGGGAUAGCCUCCCGAAAGGGAGAUUAAUACCGCAUAACAUUAGUUUUUCGCAUGGAGAACUAAUUAAAGGAGUAAUCCGCUUUGAGAUGGACCCGCGGCGCAUUAGCUAGUUGGUGAGGUAACGGCUCACCAAGGCGACGAUGCGUAGCCGACCUGAGAGGGUGAUCGGCCACAUUGGAACUGAGAUACGGUCCAGACUCCUACGGGAGGCAGCAGUGGGGAAUAUUGCACAAUGGGCGAAAGCCUGAUGCAGCAACGCCGCGUGAGUGAUGAAGGCCUUCGGGUUGUAAAGCUCUGUCUUUUGGGACGAUAAUGACGGUACCAAAGGAGGAAGCCACGGCUAACUACGUGCCAGCCGCCGCCGUAA